GACAGAGGUGCCGAGCGUUAGGCGGAAUCACUGGGCUUAAAGCGUGUGUAGGCGGGCCGUUAAGUAUCUUGUGAAAUCCCCCGGCUCAACCGGGGAAUGGCUGGAUAUACUGGCGGUCUUGAGCAAUCUAGGGGCAGAUGGAACAGACGGUGGAGCGGUGAAAUGCGUAGAUAUCAGGAGGAACACCGGUGGCGAAGGCGGCUUGCUGGGCCAGUUCUGACGCUGAGGAGCGAAAGCGUGGGGAGCGAACGGG
rnacentral:rRNA from 1 species